CUGACCUCAGGUGAUCCACCCGCCUUGGCCUCCCAAAGUGCUAGGAUUAUAGGCGUGAGCCACUGCACCCGGCCGCUCUCACAUUUUUCCACACAUUUUUGUGUAGCACAUCCUUCCCUAGCACAUUUUUCUAACCUUAUUCCCAAGAAGAAAAAGAACACAGCAAUCUACAAGCCAGUGUCUAUUGAAAGAAUGACCUCAAAGACUUUCUGAACUAGUGGCAUGUGAACAGGCUCCUCAAGUGAAGCAGUGAGUGUGGAGAAGGAACAAAGCAAUCUGUAACUGGUUGUGAUCAAUUAGUUGUAAACACAAUUUUUUUUUUCAUUUUAGUGUGCCAUUUAGUUUUUUUCUAUUUAUUAUUGUUUUUUGAGAUGGAGUCUUGCCCUGUUGCCAGGCUGGAGUGCAAUGGCAUGAUCUCGGCUCACUGCCACCUCCGCCUCCUGGGUUCAAGCAAUUGUCCUGCCUCAGCCUCCCAAGUAGCUGGGACUACAGGCGUGCGCCACCAUGCCCAGCUAAUUUUUGUAUAUAUAUAUUUUUGAGAUGGAGUCUUGCUCUGUCGCCUAGGCUAGAGUGCAGCGAUCUCUGCUCACCGCAACCUCCACCUCCCGGGUUCAAGCGAUUCUCCUGCCUCAGCCUCCCGAGCAGCUGGGACUACAGGUGUGCGCCACCAUGCCCAACUAAUUUUUGUAAUUUUUUCUUUUUUUGAGAUGGAGUCUUGCUCUGUUGCCCAGGCUAAAGUACAGCGAUCUCUGCUCACCGCAACCUCCACCUCCUGGGUUCAAGCAAUUCUCCUGCCUCAGACUCCUGAGUAACUGGGAUUACAGGCACCUGCCACUGCGCCUGGCUAGUUUUUGUAUUUUUAGUAGAGAUGGGGUUUCACCAUCUUGGCCAGGCUGGUCUCGAACUCCUGACCUCAUGAUCCCUACGCCUCAGCCUCCCAAAGUGCUGGGAUUAUAAGCGUGUGCCACCACGCCCAGCCUAAUUUUUGUAUUUUUAGUGGAGAUGGGGUUUCACCUUUUUGGCCACAAUGGUCUUAAUCUCUUGACCUGUGAUCUGCCUGCCUCAGCCUCCCAAAGUGCUGGGAUUAUAGGUGUGAGCCACUGCGCCCAGUUAGGUUGGUUAUUUUUAAAUAAUUAUUUUAUGCUAAUUUAUGGGAUAAGAUAUGUUUCAAAUUUAUGUUUGUAUAAGUUCAUGUUUUGAUUAAUGUUUUCUAGUGGGUUUAUAACUUUUGGUUUUCAAAAUAUAUUGUUUCAUCAGUUUUGAAUAAAAUAUAUAUAUAUAUAA